AAACCUUUUUGAGGUGAGAUCUGGCUGUGUUGCCCAGGCUGGAGUGCAGUGGCUGUUCACAGCUUUUAAAAGCAGUCCAUCUUCAAGGCCAUGAAGGACCUGUUUAUGCGGUGCAUGCUGUUUACCAGAGGAGGACAUCAGAUCCUGCUUUAUGUACACUGAUCGUUUCUGCAGCUGCAGAUUCUGCUGUUCGACUCUGGUCUAAAAAGGGUUCAGAAGUAAUGUGCCUUCAGACUUUAAACUUUGGAAAUGGAUUUGCUUUGGCUCUCUGCUUGUCUUUUUUGCCAAAUACUGAUGUACCAAUAUUAGCAUGUGGCGAUGAUGAUUGCAGAGUUCACGUAUUUGCUCAACAAAAUGAUCAGUUUCAGAAAGUGCUUUCUCUCUGUGGACAUGAGGAUUGGAUUAGAGGAGUGGAAUGGGCAGCCUUUGGUAGAGAUCUUUUCCUAGCAAGCUGUUCACAAGAUUGCCUGAUAAGAAUAUGGAAGCUGUAUAUAAAGUCAACAUCUUUAGAAACUCAGGAUGACGAUAACAUAAGACUGAAAGAAAAUACU
rnacentral:sRNA from 1 species